rnacentral:rRNA from 1 species
CUGCUGCCUUCCGUAGGAGUCUGGGCCGUGUCUCAGUCCCAAUGUGGCCGUCCGCCCUCUCAGGCCGGCUACUGAUCGUCGCCUUGGUAGGCCGUUACCCUCCCAACCAGCUAAUCAGACGCGGGCCCAUCUUAUACCACCUCAGUUUUUCACACUGCGUCAUGCGCCGCUGUGCGCUUAUGCGGUAUUAGCAGCUGUUUCCAGCUGUUAUCCCCCUGUACUAAGGCAGGUUGCCCACGCGUUA